rnacentral:tRNA from 1 species
ACCUGGUUGGCUCAGUUGCUUAAAGCACCAGACUUCAGCUCAGGUCAUGAUCUCACAGUUUGUGGGUUCGAGUCCCAUGUCGGGCU